AUUGAACGCUGGCGGCAGGCCUAACACAUGCAAGUCGAGCGGAGCGGCGGACGGGUGAGUAAUGCCUAGGAAUCUGCCUGGUAGUGGGGGAUAACGUCCGGAAACGGGCGCUAAUACCGCAUACUAUCAGAUGAGCCUAGGUCGGAUUAGCUAGUAGGUGGGGUAACGGCUCACCUAGGCGACGAUCCCUAGCUGGUCUGAGAGGAGGACCAGCCACACUGGAAAUGAGACACGUGCCAGACUCCGACGGGAGGCAGCAGUGGGGAAUAUUGCACAAGGGGCGCAAGCCUGAGGCAGCCAUGCCGCGGGUGUGAAGAGGGCCUUCGGGUUGUAAAGCACUUUCAGCGGGGAGGCGUUACCCGCAGAAGAAGCACCGGCUAACUCCGUGCCAGCAGCCGCGGUAAUAC
rnacentral:rRNA from 1 species